GUACAUAUUAUGAGUUGCUAAACUCUCGUUAAUACCUGAGAAGAAAAAUAAAUUAUAUCAAGUUCAUCGUUAAUACCUGAUACUAACUUCAUUUUUUUAGAAAAAAACCGUAAUUAAGCACUUAGAGCGCCAGAUCGAGGAGCAAAAUUUUUCUUUAAAAUUGAAAAUGAAACCUAUUCGCUCCAUUUCUCCUCUUUCAACAUACAUUGUUUAGAAAAAAAAAUCGCUUUCAACAUGAAAUUAAGUUUUGAAACUGCUUCUCUCUCAACUUGCAAGCCGCUGCUUCAACGACUGAAUUCGAUCGACGACUGAAUUGAAUUUGCUGUGCCGACUGAAUUUCGCUGCUUCGACCUAAUUUCAACCAAGUUAUUUGGUAUAUGAAGAAGAAAACAACCAUGCACAUCAUCGACAACUUAGGAAUGAUUUAUGUAGUUUUAAAGCUUUAUAGGAUGAGAUGACUAUUUGAAAGAUCUUCAAACUCAUUUAUGUUUCUAGCGGCUUGUACUAAAAUCAAUUGAUAUUAUGUUAACGAUUUAUUUCUAUUUUUAGUUUUUAUC